rnacentral:rRNA from 1 species
AUCAGGUAAGAAUACCCGCUGAACUUAAGCAUAUCAAUAAGCGGAGGAAAAGAAAAUAACAAUGGUUCCCUCAGUAACGGCGAGCGAAGAGGGAUAAGCUCAAAUUUUAAAUCUGUUGGGUUCCACUUAACAGAGUUGUAUUUUGAAGAAACGUUUUCUGCAUCCAGGAUUAGCCUAAAUCCUUUGGGAUAAGGUAUCAUGGAGGGUGAGAAUCCCGUUCAUGGUUAAUCUUAAGGAAGCUCUACGAUACGUUUUCCAAGAGUCGAGUUGUUUGGGAUUGCAGCUCAAAAUGGGGGGUAAAUUUCUCCUAAGGCUAAAUAUUGGCGAGAGACCGAUAGCGAACAAGUACCGUGAGGGAAAGAUGAAAAGAACUUUGAAAAGAGAGUUAAACAGUACGUGAAAUUGUUGAAAGGGAAACGAUUGAAGUCAGUCAUACCAACGGGAAAUCAACCUUUUGAGCUUGGUCUCGUGGGUUUUGAAGAGUUUCAAAGCCUUCGGAUUCGCGGGAUUGGGAUCUCUCGGUGUACUUUUUCGUACGGUUAGUCAACAUCGGUUUUGAAUGUCAUAAAAUGACUGGAGGAAUGUAGCUUCGAUCUCGUAUUGAAGUGUUAUAGCCUUUGGUAGAUGUGAUGUUUGAGACCGAGGAUUGCAACGGAUACCCUUCAGGGCUAUUCGUCUGAUCUCUGAUACGUUGCCUUGAUGUUGAAAGCUUGCUUAUGAUGUUAGGGUAUUACGGUCAAAAGGUUAGAACGAAUUACGUUCGUUAAGGAUGUUGACGUAAUGACUUUAAACGACCCGUCUUGAAACACGGACCAAGGAGUCUAACAUAUAUGCGAGUGUU